CUGCAGAAGAGACACAGAGACAAAGCUUUGCUGAGCAUGCAGUGCUCAGGACAGAAAUCACUCCAUAGCCUUAGUGUUGGAGGUUGUACCUAGGACCAAAUGCAUGUUAGCCAAGCAUUGUACCAACAAGCUAUAAACUGAGCCCAAUAAUAUCAUCCCUCUCCCAAGAAAGUUGUCUUUUCCCCACCUGGCAGAUGGGAGCAAGACAAAAGGAAAUAAACUGCCCAUCACACUACAGCCAAGCCUCAGAUGAAACCACAGAGGAAGUGGGGAGAUGAGCAAGAGUGUUGCUUCCAUGCAGAACCUGAUAUCAGCACCAGGGUGAAGGAGACAGACACCGAGGAUACUCAAAGCCUACCAAAGCAGAAGUCUAGAGGCUCCUAAGA